rnacentral:rRNA from 1 species
AUUGAACGCUGGCGGCAGGCCUAACACAUGCAAGUCGAGCGGAAACGAAGGGAGCUUGCUCCCAGGCGUCGAGCGGCGGACGGGUGAGUAACACGUGAGAAUCUGCCCAUUAGUGGGGGACAACUCGGGGAAACUCGAGCUAAUACCGCAUAAUCCCUACGGGGGAAAGCAGGGGACCUUUUGGCCUUGCGCUGAUGGAUGAGCUCACGUCGGAUUAGCUUGUUGGUGAGGUAAAGGCUCACCAAGGCGACGAUCCGUAGCUGGUCUGAGAGGAUGAUCAGCCAAACGGGGAUUGAGACACGGCCAGGCCCCCUCGGGGGGGCAGAGGGGGGGAAUUGUGGAAAAGGGGGGAACCCCUGACCCACCCAGGCCGGGGGGGGAAAGAGGGCCUGGGGGUGGUAAAGAACUUCCAGGGGGGAGAAGGGUUUGGGCGGAAGGGGUGGAGGUACUGGAGGUACCUGGAAGAAGAGCACCGGGCUAUUUGCG